CACGUAGGAUGCGAGCGUUAUCCGGAUUUAUUGGGCGUAAAGCGUGCGCAGGUGGUUUGGUAAGUUGGAUGUGAAAGCUCCUGGCUUAACUGGGAGAGGUCGUUCAAUACUACUGAACUUGAGAGUGGUAGAGGAAGGUGGAAUUCCGCGUGUAGUGGUGAAAUGCGUAGAUAUGCGGAGGAACACCAGUGGCGAAAGCGGCCUUCUGGACCACUUCUGACACUCAUGCACGAAAGCUAGGGUAGCAAACUGGAUUAGAGACCCCGGUAGUCCUAGCUGUAAACGAUGUGAACUUGGCGUCGGUGGGGUUAAAUCCAUCGGUGCCGAAGCUAACGCGAUAAGUUCACCGCCUGGGGAUUACGGCCGCAAGGUUAAA
rnacentral:rRNA from 1 species